GGAAGCUUUAUCUAUCCUGCCCCUUGGGGGACUGCGGCUGGCUUUCCCCCAUGAGACCUAUUCUGUAUUGAACAGGAAAGCACAAACAAUCACAAUGCCCAGCAAAGAUAAAGUGUUUUCCAUGCUCUCUGUUACGACAGUGAUCCCCAUAGAGACGUAAUCUUCAGUUUACGAAGACUUUUUUCUGAGUCCCAAAUUGCAGGAAUCUGUGGGGUUUUCCCCCUAACCUUGCCCUUCCGCCCUUUGUGGAUCCUCCUGGAAUGGUCCACGGGCAUCUAUAUCUGCUGUUCCCCAAUCCCACCAGCAAGGGGCGCGCGAGAUGAAACAGUUCUGUCCUGGGAUGUACCACCGAGGGGUAGCGGAAAGACCACCCACUCUGGAAGGUACCAUUGGGAGAGGGCGUGUGACAACAGAGAGGGUCCCCUUACACCGCGUCGGGCAUGGACCGCAGUUCCCAGCAGCGGCACUCAUGGCGCCACUAGGUCCAUCCCCACUCGCUCCUCUUCGUCUUCCCACUGCUUUUGAAUCCGAGUGGACACAGUGGGCAAGUGGCGUCAACAUUGGGACCUAUAGAUCAAGAUUCCCCAAGCUGGAUGAACCUGUGGUUGACCAGCAGCCCAGUGUUGAGCAACCUCAACAAGAGGAACCGCCAGCUGAGAUUCAGGAUAUCACACCUGGGAAGGAGGAAGUAAAUGGAGAGGAUCCGGUGAAUCAUAAUGAAGAGAAGGAGGAUGCCUCUGGAGGUAAAGUGUAAGUGUGCAUCAUGUCUUAAGACAUAAGCAGUAAGAGGAGGAAAGGAAACAUUAGAAAAGGACUUCAGACAGUUCCUAAAAAACUGAGGAGAGUAUAGUUUGCAGGUCAGUGUGGUCGCUCAAAUUUUCCCUUGUUUUCAAGACAAAGAGAAGGGGGCACCUAAGUUGUCUGAGGACAACCCUGGGAAAGGAAAAUGGUGAUAGCAUUCGGAAAAUUCUGCUUUCCUUUUUCUCCAGCAAAACAUUCCUGGAAUAAUGCUCCUGAGGUUCUCAUUCAUCACAUUUUUACCAUACUGGCCUAAGACUUUUAAUUCAUAAUACUGAGGGAAUCAAUAUCAUCAUUCCCUUGUUUAUAUUGUAUGCUUUACAGCUGAAUUGAUACAUUUUUUUUUUAAAGAUUCUGAUCUGGAAACUGAUCUCCAGGAAUUGGCUGAGGCAAAGACUGGGGGUAAAGGUGGAGAUGGUCCCAAUGUCAGGGAGGAGGUUGCAUCAAAUACAGAGCCUGUUGAAAUGCCAGAAGCAGGUAUGUCAUCCAUUCAGAAAGUAAUUUAUGUGGUUUCUGUUUUUUCAGAAUAUUAUAUCUUUAAUAAUAUAGAAGGAACAUUACUAUUAUUUUAAUAACAGAGUUCACAUAUUCUUUGAAAGAUAGUUCAGACCCCCGAUGCCUGAAUGCCUGACUUACAGACUUUCAAAUAAAGAAACAGAGAGAAUCA
rnacentral:lncRNA from 1 species